rnacentral:rRNA from 1 species
GAUGAACGCUGGCGGCGUGCCUAAUACAUGCAAGUCGAGCGAACGGACGAGAAGCUUGCUUUUCUGAUGUUAGCGGCGGACGGGUGAGUAACACGUGGAUAACCUACCUAUAAGACUGGGAUAACUUCGGGAAACCGGAGCUAAUACCGGAUAAUAUUUUGAACCGCAUGGUUCAAAAGUGAAAGACGGUCUUGCUGUCACUUAUAGAUGGAUCCGCGCUGCAUUAGCUAGUUGGUAAGGUAACGGCUUACCAAGGCAACGAUGCAUAUCCGACCUGAGAGGGUGAUCGGCCACACUGGAGCGGGGCCACGGUCCAUGCUCCUACGAGAGGCAGCAGUAGGGAAUCGGCCGCAAUGGGCGAAAGCCUGGCGGAGCAACGCCGCGUGAGUGAUGAAGGUCUUCGGAGCGGAAAACUCUGUUAUUAGGGAAGAACAUAUGUGUAAGUAACUGUGCACAGCUUGACGGUACCUAAUCAGAAAGCCACGGCUAACUACGUG